UACGAAGGGGGGCUAGCGUUGCUCGGAAUCACUGGGCGUAAAGCGCACGUAGGCGGCUUUCUAAGUCAGGGGUGAAAUCCUGGAGCUCAACUCCAGAACUGCCUUUGAUACUGGAGAGCUUGAGUCCGGGGAGAGGUGAGUGGAACUCCGAGUGUAGAGGUGAAAUUCGUAGAUAUUCGGAAGAACACCAGUGGCGAAGGCGGCUCACUGGCCCGGUACUGACGCUGAUGUGCGAAAGCGUGGGGAGCAAACAGG
rnacentral:rRNA from 1 species